UUGACAAUGACCAGUUGUGAGCAAUCAUUAAAGCGAAUCCUCUUACAAGUACAGAAGAAGUUGCUGAAGAACUCAAUGUCAACCAUUCUACAGUCGUUUAGCAUUUGAAGCAAAUUGAAAAGGUGAAAAAGCUUGAUAAGUGGGUGCCUCAUGAGCUGAGUGAAAAAACAAAUCGUCAUUUUGAAGCGUCAUCUUCUCUUAUUCUACGGAACAAAAACGAACCAUUUCUCGAUCGGAUUGUGACAUGCAACAGAAAGUGGAUUUUAUACGACAACCAGAGACGACCAGUGGUUGGACCAAGAAGCAGCUCCAAAAGCACUUACAAAAGCCAAGGCACUUACCAAAGCCAAACCAAAUAAAGGUCAUGGUCACUGUUUGGUGGUCUCCUACUGGUCUGAUCCACUAAAGCUUUCUGAAUCCCAGCGAAACCAUUAUAUCUGAGAAGUAUGCUCAGCAAAUCGAUGAGAUGCACCGAAAACUGCAAUGUCUGCAGCUGGCAUUGGUCAACAGAAAGGGCCCAAUUCUUCUCCAUGACAACACUCGAAGGCAUGUAGCACAACCAAGCUUUAAAAGUUGAAUGAAUUGGGCUAUGAAAUUUUGCCUCAUCCGCCAUAUUCACCUGACUUCUCCCCAACAGAUCACCACUUCUUCCACCAUCUCAACAACUUUUUGUAGGGAAAACACUUCCACAACCACCAGGAUGCAGAAAAUGCUUUCUAAGAGUUCAUUAAAUCACGAGGCAUAGAUUUUUACGCUACAGGAAUAAACAAGCUUAUUUCUUGUGGCAAAAACAUGUUGAUUGUAAUGGUUCCACAAUUACUUUUGCAUCAACCUAAUAAGAAAGCAAAUCAAGUGUAGGUCUAGGGAAAAGCAGAGGGAAUAGCCAGUGCAUGGGCUUAGAGGCCUGAAAGGCGCUGGCAUGGUUAAAGAAUACAAAAGAGCUUCUGAAACCUCUGAGCCACAGACUGAGGAAGAGAUGAGUUUGGGAAGAUUGUCAGACCUCUGGCCACAGAGGACUUUGUAGAUCACAGUAAGGAGUCUGAAUUUCUCUUCAAGGCAUAAUGGGAAGAAAUAAGAGGUGAUUCCUCCAGCUAAGAAUAUACAAAUUUUACAGAUGAGAAAACUGGAAAACAGUGACUAAGGGACCAGCCUAAAUUUUUGUAGGCACAACAACACAGUCAAAAGCAACAGAUUAAAAGUGUGAAUGGACUAUGGAGAAAAAGAAACUUUUAUGCGCAUGGGCACGUGAAUUUGUACAAUCACUUAGAAGAG
rnacentral:lncRNA from 10 species